UACGAAGGGGGCUAGCGUUGCUCGGAAUCACUGGGCGUAAAGGGUGCGUAGGCGGGUCUUUAAGUCAGGGGUGAAAUCCUGGAGCUCAACUCCAGAACUGCCUUUGAUACUGAAGAUCUUGAGUUCGGGAGAGGUGAGUGGAACUGCGAGUAUAGAGGUGAAAUUCGUAGAUAUUCGCAAGAACACCAGUGGCGAAGGCGGCUCACUGGCCCGAUACUGACGCUGAUGCACGAAAGCGUGGGGAGCAAACAGG
rnacentral:rRNA from 1 species